rnacentral:rRNA from 1 species
AUUGAACGCUGGCGGCAGGCCUAACACAUGCAAGUCGAGCGGAUGACGGGAGCUUGCUCCUGGAUUCAGCGGCGGACGGGUGAGUAAUGCCUAGGAAUCUGCCUGGUAGUGGGGGACAACGUUUCGAAAGGAACGCUAAUACCGCAUACGUCCUGCGGGAGAAAGCAGGGGACCUUCGGGCCUUGCGCUAUCAGAUGAGCCUAGGUCGGAUUAGCUAGUUGGUGAGGUAAUGGCUCACCAAGGCGACGAACCGUAACUGGUCUGAGAGGAUGAUCAGUCACACUGGAACUGAGACACGGUCCAGACUCCUACGGGAGGCAGCAGUGGGGAAUAUUGGACAAUGGGCGAAAGCCUGAUCCAGCCAUGCCGCGUGUGUGAAGAAGGUCUUCGGAUUGUAAAGCACUUUAAGUUGGGAGGAAGGGCAGUAAGCGAAUACCUUGCUGUUUUGACGUUACCGACAGAAUAAGCACCGGCUAACUCUGUGCCAGCCGCCGCCGUAAAAC